rnacentral:rRNA from 1 species
CAGUAGCCGCGGGAAUACGAGGGGGGCAAGCGUUGUUCGGAAUUAUUGGGCGUAAAGGGUGCGUAGGCGGUUUGGUAAGUCUUGUGUGAAAUCUUCGGGCUCAACUCGAAGUCUGCACGAGAAACUGCCGGGCUUGAGUGUGGGAGAGGUGAGUGGAAUUUCCGGUGUAGCGGUGAAAUGCGUAGGUAUCGGAAGGAACACCUGUGGCGAAAGCGGCUCACUGGACCAUAACUGACGCUGAUGCACGAAAGCUAGGGGAGCAAACAGGAUUAGAGACCCCUGUAGUCCCUGUCUCUUAUAC